AGUGAACGCUGGCGGUAGGCCUAACACAUGCAAGUCGAACGGCAGCACAGUAAGAGCUUGCUCUUACGGGUGGCGAGUGGCGGACGGGUGAGGAAUACAUCGGAAUCUACUUUUUCGUGGGGGAUAACGUAGGGAAACUUACGCUAAUACCGCAUACGACCUACGGGUGAAAGCAGGGGAUCUUCGGACCUUGCGCGAUUGAAUGAGCCGAUGUCGGAUUAGCUAGUUGGCGGGGUAAAGGCCCACCAAGGCGACGAUCCGUAGCUGGUCUGAGAGGAUGAUCAGCCACACUGAAACUGAGACACAGUCCAGACUCCUACGGGAGGCAGCAGUGGGGAAUAUUGGACAAUGGGCGCAAGCCUGAUCCAGCCAUACCGCGUGGGUGAAGAAGGCCUUCGGGUUGUAAAGCCCUUUUGUUGGGAAAGAAAAGCAGCAGGUUAAUACCCCGCCGUUCUGACGGUACCCAAAGAAUAAGCACCGGCUAACUUCGUG
rnacentral:rRNA from 1 species